rnacentral:rRNA from 1 species
UACAGAGGGGGCAAGCGUUAUUCGGAAUUAUUGGGCGUAAAGGGCGCGUAGGCGGCCUGUCAAGUCUCUCGUGAAAUCCCUCGGCUUAACUGAGGACGUGCGGGAGAUACUGUCAGGCUGGAGUCCGGAAGAGGGUGGUGGAAUUCCCAGUGUAGCGGUGAAAUGCGUAGAUAUUGGGAGGAACACCGGUGGCGAAGGCGGAUCUCUGGGCCAUUACUGACGCUGAGGAGCGAAAGCGUGGGGAGCGAACAGG